rnacentral:rRNA from 1 species
GACGAACGCUGGCGGCGUGCUUAACACAUGCAAGUCGAACGAAGUGGCGAACGGGUGAGUAAUACGUGGGUAACCUGCCCUCCUUUUUGGGAUAAGCCUUGGAAACGGGGUCUAAUACCGAAUAAAGGUGGAUGGGCUCGGGGCCUAUCAGCUUGUUGGUGGGGUGAUGGCCUACCAAGGCGGUGACGGGUAGCCGGCCUGCGAGGGUGACCGGAAACAUUGGGAGUGAGAUACGGCCCAGACUCCUACGGGAGGGGGAGGUGGGGGAUAGUGCAAAAUGGGCGAAAGGCAGAUGCAGCGACGCCGCGUGGGGGAUGAAGGCUUACGGGUUGUAAACCUCUUUCGAUAUCGAGCGGGUAGGUGGAGAAGAAGCGCCGGCUAACUACGUGCCAGCAGCCGCGGUAAUUC